GACGAACGCUGGCGGCGUGCUUAACACAUGCAAGUCGAACGGAAAGGCCCUGCUUGCAGGGUACUCGAGUGGCGAACGGGUGAGUAACACGUGGGUGAUCUGCCCUGCACUUCGGGAUAAGCUUGGGAAACUGGGUCUAAUACCGGAUAGGAACCAUCUUUAGUGUGGUGGUUGGAAAGUUUUUUCGGUGUAGGAUGAGCUCGCGGCCUAUCAGCUUGUUGGUGGGGUAAUGGCCUACCAAGGCGGCGACGGGUAGCCGGCCUGAGAGGGUGUACGGCCACAUUGGGACUGAGAUACGGCCCAGACUCCUACGGGAGGCAGCAAUGGGGAAUAUUGCACAAUGGGCGCAAGCCUGAUGCAGCGACGCCGCGUGGGGGAUGAAGGCCUUCGGGUUGUAAACUCCUUUCGCUAGGGACGAAGCUUUGUUGUGACGGUACCCAGAUAAGAAGCACCGGCUAACUACGUG
rnacentral:rRNA from 1 species